rnacentral:sRNA from 1 species
AAAAAGAAGGAAAAAAAA